UACAGAGGUCCCAAGCGUUGUUCGGAAUUACUGGGCGUAAAGCGCACGCAGGUGGCUGAGAAAGUCGAUUGUGAAAGCCCUGGGCUUAACCUGGGAAUUGCAGUCGAAACUACUCGGCUAGAGUAUGGGAGAGGGUAGUGGAAUUCCCGGUGUAGCGGUGAAAUGCGUAGAUAUCAGGAAGAACACCCGUGGCGAAGGCGGCUCUCUGGGACGGUACUGACGCUGAGACGCGAAAGCGUGGGGAGCGAACAGG
rnacentral:rRNA from 1 species